UGCCUCUCUUGACUCUUAGUAACUUGCCCUCCUCCUGCCCCAAUCAGUGUCUGGUACUGUCAACCCGGCAGAGCAAAGGGGGUGGUGGUGGGGUGUCCCCAAAUGAAGGAAUUUUUCUCAUUUCAAACCAGUGAAGCACUAUGGUAAAUGUCACACUAAAUGCUCUGGUGAUCACCCAAGAGGUGAAGCUGUUCUUUCAACUGCUGUUAUUCAGCUUAGUGGGAAAAGAUUGUGCGUGUAAACUUACACAUGGAAAAAUGUUCAUUAUCAUUUUGGUGGUUUCUUUUUAUUUGAGCAGUUCCUGUGUGUUUAAGACAAGUUUUCCAAAAGCAAGGAAUGAAGGCUAUUGCUGCUCAUGCAAAAUUUUGGGAGGAGAGUAAAUAUAUGAGCAAGUUCCUAGCCCCAGAAGGGAACUGUUCAGAACUUUGGCUCCUUGGAUACUCUCUCUGGCUGUUGUAUUCUGGUGUAUUGGGGAUUUUGAAACUUCCUGACAUUGGAAAACUUUGUUCAGUAACAGCUGUUUUGACACUGUGGAACUAUGCAGAUUUUCAAAAUGCACAGCUGACACCAAGUGACCAUGCCUUGUCAAAUUGCCAUAACCACACAGCAGAGAACCGCCUGACUAAAAGAGCACAGCCAUAUAAUACCAAUAAUACAUACCUGUGGAAAAAUGGGUUUCAUGGCUAAGGAUUUGCAGUAUUCCUGCUUAUUACACCAUGGAGGCUCCCGGAUCAAAAGAAGGGAUCAAAUACAAUGCAAGGAGUCUUGUGUCACACUACAUGAAGUGACUUACUUGUAUG